rnacentral:rRNA from 1 species
CCUACGGGAGGCAGCAGUGGGGAAUAUUGCACAAUGGGCGCAAGCCUGAUGCAGCAACGCCGCGUGAGGGACGACGGCCUUCGGGUUGUAAACCUCUUUUAGUAGGGAAGAAGCGAAAGUGACGGUACCUGCAGAAAAAGCACCGGCUAACUACGUGCCAGCAGCCGCGGUAAUACGUAGGGUGCAAGCGUUAUCCGGAAUUAUUGGGCGUAAAGAGCUCGUAGGCGGUUUGUCACGUCUGCUGUGAAAACUGGAGGCUCAACCUCCAGCCUGCAGUGGGUACGGGCAGACUAGAGUGCGGUAGGGGAGAUUGGAAUUCCUGGUGUAGCGGUGGAAUGCGCAGAUAUCAGGAGGAACACCGAUGGCGAAGGCAGAUCUCUGGGCCGUAACUGACGCUGAGGAGCGAAAGCAUGGGGAGCGAACAGGAUUAGAUACCCUGGUAGUCCAUGCGUAACGUUAGGUACGUAGAUAGUAGGACGACUACUACGUUCGUGUGUCG